rnacentral:rRNA from 1 species
AUUGAACGCUGACGGCAUGCCUUACACAUGCAAGUCGAACGGUAACAGGUCUUCGGAUGCUGACGAGUGGCGAACGGGUGAGUAAUACAUCGGAACGUGCCCGAUCGUGGGGGAUAACGAGGCGAAAGCUUUGCUAAUACCGCAUAAGAUCUACGGAUGAAAGCAGGGGACCGCAAGGCCUUGCGCGAACGGAGCGGCCGAUGGCAGAUUAGGUAGUUGGUGGGAUAAAAGCUUACCAAGCCGACGAUCUGUAGCUGGUCUGAGAGGACGACCAGCCACACUGGGACUGAGACACGGCCCAGACUCCUACGGGAGGCAGCAGUGGGGAAUUUUGGACAAUGGGCGAAAGCCUGAUCCAGCCAUGCCGCGUGCAGGAUGAAGGCCUUCGGGUUGUAAACUGCUUUUGUACGGAACGAAAAGACUCUGGUUAAUACCUGGGGUCCAUGACGGUACCGUAAGAAUAAGCACCGGCUAACUACGUG